rnacentral:rRNA from 1 species
UACGUAGGGUGCGAGCGUUAAUCGGAAUUACUGGGCGUAAAGCGUGCGCAGGCGGUUUUGUAAGACAGGCGUGAAAUCCCCGGGCUUAACCUGGGAACUGCGUUUGUGACUGUAGGACUCGAGUGUGGCAGAGGGGGGUGGAAUUCCACGUGUAGCAGUGAAAUGCGUAGAGAUGUGGAGGAACACCGAUGGCGAAGGCAGCCCCCUGGGCCGAUACUGACGCUCAUGCACGAAAGCGUGGGUAGCAAACAGGAUUAGAUACCCCAGUAGU